rnacentral:rRNA from 1 species
GCAGUCGAACGGUAACAGGGUGCUUGCACCGCUGACGAGUGGCGAACGGGUCAGUAAUGCAUCGGAAUGUACCGUGUAAUGGGGGAUAGCUCGGCGAAAGCCGGAUUAAUACCGCAUACGCCCUGAGGGGGAAAGUGGGGGACCGUAAGGCCUCACGUUAUACGAGCAGCCGAUGUCUGAUUAGCUAGUUGGUGGGGUAAAGGCUCACCAAGGCAACGAUCAGUAGCGGGUCUGAGAGGAUGAUCCGCCACACUGGGACUGAGACACGGCCCAGACUCCUACGGGAGGCAGCAGUGGGGAAUUUUGGACAAUGGGCGCAAGCCUGAUCCAGCCAUGCCGCGUGUCUGAAGAAGGCCUUCGGGUUGUAAAGGACUUUUGUCCGGGAGCAAAUCCCAGUGGUUAAUACCUACUGGGGCUGAGAGUACCGGAAGAAUAAGCACCGGCUAACUACGUGCCAGCAGCCGCGGUAAUACGUAGGGUGCAAGCGUUAAUCGGAAUUACUGGGCGUAAAGCGUGCGCAUGCGGUUGUGCAAUUCUGAUGUGAAAGCCCCGGGCUUAACCUGGGAACGGCAUUGGAGACUGCACGACUAGAGU